CCUAGAAUCACUUUAACAACCAGGCCA
rnacentral:piRNA from 1 species